GGAAAAUAGAGCGCGGACUCGGAGCAAAUUUCCGCCAAAUUCAUGGCACCAACCAAAGGUACAACCGUAACGCCUUCGAUGAGGCGUUACUGUUUUCAGGCGUUAUGAAAGUGGAAGAUGAUUUUUUUCAUCACAGCAAUCUUCUUCAAACCAGCAAUGACAGUUUUAAAAUAAACAAACCCCGACCCACGAAAAAAAAACUAGCUAUCUACAUGAAAUCAUGAUCUGAACGGCAAAAGAAACUGGACGCUGAGGCAAAAGUAAUCAGAAAGCGUAUCCGCAUAAAGCUGUGCAGUUCGCGGCUCGGCUCGACUUUCAUAUCCGGCCUCUUAUGUUCCGCGAAAACAAUUCCAAGACGGUGGCACGAGCCAACAAGCAAAAGUUCUACACGGCCUGCCAGGAGCUGGCGAUGUUCCUCGCCAUUGUCGUCGUUUUCGUCACCACCCUUACCAUAACCCAGUCCGUAACUUACCCCGGCCUCAACGCAGGUUCACGGAUGGUUGAAGGAUGAACUCCGUGGUAAUAAACGACUAUCGCAG